GACCAACGCUGGCGGCGUGCUUAACACAUGCAAGUCGAGCGAGAGAAAUUCCUUCGGGAAGGACUCUAGCGGCGGACGGGUGAGUAACACGUGGGUAACCUGCCUCAUAGAGGGGAAUAGCCUUUCGAAAGGAAGAUUAAUACCGCAUAAGAUUGUAGUAUCGCAUGAUGCAGCAAUUAAAGGAGUAAUCCGCUAUGAGAUGGACCCGCGUCGCAUUAGCGAGUUGGUGAGGUAACGGCUCACCAAGGCGACGAUGCGUAGCCGACCUGAGAGGGUGAUCGGCCACAUUGGGACUGAGACACGGCCCAGACUCCUACGGGAGGCAGCAGUGGGGAAUAUUGCACAAUGGGGGAAACCCCGAUGCAGCAACGCCGCGUGAGUGAUGACGGUCUUCGGAUUGUAAAACUCUGUCUGCAGGGACGAUAAUGACGGUACCUGAGGAGGAAGCCACGGCUAACUACGUGCCAGCAGCCGCGGUAA
rnacentral:rRNA from 1 species